rnacentral:rRNA from 1 species
UACGUAGGGUGCAAGCGUUAAUCGGAAUUACUGGGCGUAAAGCGUGCGUAGACGGUCAAGUAAGUCGGGUGUGAAAGCCCCGGGCCCAACCUGGGAAUUGCAUUCGAGACUGCGUGGCUAGGGUGCGGAAGAGGGAAGCGGAAUUUCCGGUGUAGCGGUGAAAUGCGUAGAUAUCGGAAGGAACACCAGUGGCGAAAGCGGCUUCCUGGUCCAGCACCGACGUUCAGGCACGAAAGCGUGGGGAGCGAACAGG